GGAGUAGAGGCUCCCUACAGUGUGUGGCCCUGUGACACUCCUUUAAGCUCUCAUUUUCUCCAUGGACAGCCAAAGAUACGGAACUUCAUCAUUCUAAAGGCUUCCGUUCUUCUAGUCUCACCUGUGAACACAGCACCUAUGUAUUGUUUAAGCAAUUCUUGUGCCUUAUCGGAAAAAGUAGGAUUUUAACUUCCACAGCCAACAGGGAAUAUGGCACACUUUUAUAUCCACAACAUGUGACAAUUUCUCCC
rnacentral:lncRNA from 1 species